rnacentral:rRNA from 1 species
UGAGUAAUGUAUAGGAAUCUACCUAGUAGUACGGAAUAAUUGUUGGAAACGGCAACUAAUACCGUAUACGCCCUACGGGGGAAAGAUUUAUCGCUAUUAGAUGAGCCUAUAUUAGAUUAGCUAGUUGGUGAGGUAAAGGCUUACCAAGACAAUGAUCUAUAGCUGAUCUGAGAGGAUGAUCAGUCACACUGGAACUGAGAUACGGUCCAGACUCCUACGGGAGGCAGCAGUGGGGAAUAUUGGACAAUGGGCGAAAGCCUGAUCCAGCCAUGCCGCAUGAGUGAAGAAGGCCUUUGGGUUGUAAAGCUCUUUCGGUGAGGAAGAUAAUGACGGUACUCACAGAAGAAGUCCUGGCUAACUCCGUGCCAGCAGCCGCGGUAAUACGGAGAGGGCUAGCGUUAUUCGGAAUUAUUGGGCGUAAAGAGCGCGUAGGCUGGUUAGUAAGUUAAAAGUGAAAUCCCAAAGCUCAACUUUGGAAUUGCUUUUAAAACUGCUAACCUAGAGAUUGAAAGAGGAUAGAGGAAUUCCUAGUGUAGAGGUGAAAUUCGUAAAUAUUA